rnacentral:rRNA from 1 species
UACGAAGGGGGCUAGCGUUGCUCGGAAUCACUGGGCGUAAAGGGUGCGUAGGCGGGUUUUUAAGUCAGGGGUGAAAUCCUGGAGCUCAACUCCAGAACUGCCUUUGAUACUGAGAAGCUUGAGUCCGGGAGAGGUGAGUGGAACUGCGAGUGUAGAGGUGAAAUUCGUAGAUAUUCGCAAGAACACCAGUGGCGAAGGCGGCUCACUGGCCCGAUACUGACGCUGAGGCACGAAAGCGUGGGGAGCAAACAGG